GAUGAACGCUGGCGGCGUGCCUAAUACAUGCAAGUCGAGCGACCGGACGAGGGGCUUGCUGCUCUGGUGUUGGCGGCGGAUGGGUGAUUAACCCGUAGAUACCCGACCUAUGAGACUGGCGUAACUUCGGGAAACCUGAUCUCAUACCGGAUAAUAGUUUGAACCGCAUGGUUCAAAAGUGAAAGACGGUCUUGCUGUCCCUUUUAGAUGGAUCCUCGCUGCAUUAGCUAGUUGGUAAGGUAACGGCUUACCAAGGCAACGAUGCGUAGCCGACCUGAGAGGGUGAUCGGCCACACUGGGACUGAGACACGGUCCAGACUCCUACGGGAGGCAGCAGUAGGGAAUCUUCCGCAAUGGGCGAAAGCCUGACGGAGCCAUGCCGCGUGAGGGACGAAGGUCUUCGGAUCGUAAAACUCUGUUAUUCGGGAAGAAAAGAUGCGGACGUAUACCUGCAGAUCAUGACGGUACCUAAUGAGUAAGCACCGGCUAACUACGUG
rnacentral:rRNA from 1 species